rnacentral:tRNA from 1 species
ACCCAUGUGGCGAAAUUGGUAGACGCGCAUAGUUCAGAACUAUGUUUUUAAAUAAAUAUAUUGGGGGUUCAAUUCCCCCCUUGGGUA